AAUGAAGAGAGAAUGUUUCGUUUAAUUGUUUCUGACAUUGGCAUUCCUGUUUAUUUACACGUGUCGACACGCUUUGUUUUUACUUGACGUUUUUAGUUAUUGUGUGAAUAAACAUAUGUCUAAUCCGUCGACGUCAAAAAUGCGCAGAUCAAGAGGAAACGAUUAUUAUGCUUUGCCAAAUCAAGGUGGAUCUGAAAAUUUAUUGGAACAGGAAAAUGAAGCAAUGACUGAUGAACUAAAAGACAAAAUACAUGCUCUAAAGUCCUUGUCGAUUGACAUUGGCUCAGAAGUAAAGUAUCAGGAUAAACUAUUAAGGGAACUGGAUGACGAUAUGGAAAACACUGGAGGGUUUUUAGGAAGUACGCUGAGCCGUGUACUCAAGCUUGGGAAAGGUGGUCAUAAUUAUUAUAUUUUGUACAUGAUUCUGUUCUCUUUCUUCGUGUUCUUUGUGUUGUGGUUUGUUAUAAAGUUCAGGUGAAAUUAAAAUGGGAUUCCCAGCUUGGGUGUAUGGUGCUCAUACUUUACAUUUGGCAAGGAAAAAAACUUUCUUUGAGUUGGAUGUAUGUAUUUAUAAUUAUCAGAAUUUUCAAGUGCAUUGGAGAGAAAAGGCGUCGAUGUCUUCUACUGUCACUCUGCAUGAAGUGUUAGAUAUACCCAUGUGUUUUUCCUCUAAUCGUUUGAGACAAUUGUUAAAGUUUCUCUGUGCAAAAAUAUUUUUAAAAACCAGUUCCUUUUGUCUCUGCAGUAAACCUGGGUGUGGUUCGUAAUCAUUCAGAAUAAACCGUAAACAUGUUUGGUAAUUGA